rnacentral:rRNA from 1 species
GACGAACGCUGGCGGCGUGCCUAAUACAUGCAAGUUGAGCGAUGAAGAUUGGUGCUUGCACCAAUUUGAAGAGCAGCGAACGGGUGAGUAACGCGUGGGGAAUCUGCCUUUGAGCGGGGGACAACAUUUGGAAACGAAUGCUAAUACCGCAUAACAACUUUAAACAUAAGUUUUAAGUUUGAAAGAUGCAAUUGCAUCACUCAAAGAUGGUCCCGCGUUGUAUUAGCUAGUUGGUGAGGUAAAGGCUCACCAAGGCGAUGAUACAUAGCCGACCUGAGAGGGUGAUCGGCCACAUUGGGACUGAGACACGGCCCAAACUCCUACGGGAGGCAGCAGUAGGGAAUCUUCGGCAAUAGACGAAAGUCUGACCGAGCAACGCCGCGUGAGUGAAGAAGGUUUUCGGAUCGUAAAACUCUGUUGGUAGAGAAGAACGUUGGUGAGAGUGGAAAGCUCAUCAAGUGACGGUAACUACCCAGAAAGGGACGGCUAACUACGUG